UCCCUACUAAUUUUCUAAAAUACAUUAGUACCAAACAAAGCCUUAGUGUUUGUGGCCCUUUCCAAAAUGAUCCAGACCACAGCCAAGCCACAUUUCCCAGGUCGGUCGCUCGCUGCAUAAGCCAGAAUUGAGAUGCAUGGAGGAACAAUCGAGACUUCGGUGCUCGUCUGUGCCCCAAUCAUCGGACCAAAUCAGCGAUACUGCUCUCCCCUCCUUUGUAUUGCCUGCAAGUCAUUUCCUCCAUGCUUCUCCUCGUGCUACGGGAUAACAUGACUUCCAUAUCAAGCUGACACUCAAAUUCUUGAUGCAUCCCAUUCCCAAGACACGUCAUGGACAUUGGGUGUCUCUCACACACUACUGUCCUGUGUAACUCUCAUAGUAAAAACUAGCUAAUGGAUGUGAGAAAGUUUGAACUAUAGCUUCUUCAUACUAUGAAGUAGAAGGCGAGGCCAAGUAAUAUAUGGAUGCCAGAUGUACAUGUGAAUAAUGAAAACACUUUAAUGCUUUGACAACCACUGUAUCACUUAUUUAUCUUGCUUGGGUACUAAGAAGAUUUCUAGCAGUCACACUAUCUCCAUUUUCAUACAAAAAGUAGCUACAGACUAGAAAUGAAGCACCGAAGGAUAUAGAGAUGAUCAAGCUUUCUUACUCAUAAAAGCAUCUCUAGCAUAUCCGUCCCGCAAAAAUACGCACUCUCUUUUAAAACAUAAGGUGUAUUUUUUUUUGAAAAGUCAUUUUUUAAAGUUUGAUCAAAUAUAUAGAGAAAUAUAUUAAAAUCAUCGGGUAUGUCUAUUCUUAAGCCGUCUGAUUUUUAUUUGGUGUUAGAUUGAUUUUUUGUCAUCUAAUGUGUUGCCACGUGUCUUGAGUUGAUUUUGGGUUUCUAACCAGCUUGGGGAAAUUCGACUAUUUUCAUCCUCGGUCUAAGUUGAAUUCCCCGUCCGGGCUUGACACCAAACCCGUUAGCCCACAGCAGAACACACCGAGCCACACAGAAAAAAAGCCCGUAUCACCAAAGACCCAUCUGCUCCUGCAUGCAUGUUUAUUUUUCCUUUGCU
rnacentral:lncRNA from 1 species